CUCCAUUUUACAAAGGAAGCACCUCUAUUUAUAGCCUAAGGUGCUGAAAAAUAGGUGGGAAAUUUCAAAUAAACUCAUUUGAAAUUCCCACCAAAAACAAGUCACAUGGGAGGUGUGACCUUUUUCUACUAUGACACCUCCCAAAAACUACACCUACACCACUCUCCUAAGUCACAUGGACAAUGUGACUUUAUUUUACAUUUUCACACACCUUUAUUUAAUAACCAAACCUCCUAAAACUAUACAAGAGUAUUUCAAAGCUUGGCCUUGCCCCUCAUGGGAUGGACUUGGGCUCUUUGGGCUUUGGCCUUCUUGGGCUUGGGCUUGGGC
rnacentral:lncRNA from 1 species